rnacentral:rRNA from 1 species
GACGAACGCUGGCGGCGUGCUUAACACAUGCAAGUCGAACGGAAAGGCCCUGCUUUUGUGGGGUGCUCGAGUGGCGAACGGGUGAGUAACACGUGAGUAACCUGCCCUUGACUUUGGGAUAACUUCAGGAAACUGGGGCUAAUACCGGAUAGGAGCUCCUGCUGCAUGGUGGGGGUUGGAAAGUUUCGGCGGUUGGGGAUGGACUCGCGGCUUAUCAGCUUGUUGGUGGGGUAGUGGCUUACCAAGGCUUUGACGGGUAGCCGGCCUGAGAGGGUGACCGGCCACAUGGGGACUGAGAUACGGCCCAGACUCCUACGGGAGGCAGCAGUGGGGAAUAUUGCACAAUGGGCGGAAGCCUGAUGCAGCAACGCUGCGUGCGGGAUGACGGCCUUCGGGUUGUAAACCGCUUUCGCCUGUGACGAAGCGUGAGUGACGGUAAUGGGUAAAGAAGCACCGGCUAACUACGU